GUUAUAGGGUCAAGCGAACAAGUGCAUGUGGUGGAUGCCUUGGCGAUCACAGGCGAUGAAGGACGCGGUAGCCUGCGAAAAGCUACGGGGAGCUGGCAAACAAGCUUUGAUCCGUAGAUGUCCGAAUGGGGAAACCCACUCCGUAUGGAGUAUCCAUGGCUGAAUACAUAGGCCAUGUGAAGCGAACGCGGUGAACUGAAACAUCUAAGUAACCGCAGGAAAAGAAAUCAACCGAGAUUCCCAAAGUAGUGGCGAGCGAAAUGGGAUGAGCCUUGUACUCUUUAUUUGUAUUGUUAGCCGAACGCUCUGGAAAGUGCGGCCAUAGCAGGUGAUAGCCCUGUAGGCGAAAAC
rnacentral:rRNA from 1 species